UAUAAACUGUUGAAGGGGAAGUAAAACCGCAGGACCAACCUUAAAGAGAGCCGGGUAUGGUGGAAGCCCGGCAGGCGAUGGAGCGGAUAAAUGGGCCCCAGAGGGUGGAGCGAACAGGCUUUGGCUUUAGUAGCUACCAACGUAAAGCCGGCGUUAUCGGGCUAAGGGUGUGUUGGCACUCUGCAGGAGAGGAUGCGUGUUUAUGCAUCAACUAAGGUGGUACCGCAGAUUAACGUCUGUCCUUAUU
rnacentral:ncRNA from 1 species